rnacentral:rRNA from 1 species
UGCGUAGGCAGCAAGCGUUGUUCGGAGUUACUGGGCGUAAAGGGUGCGUAGGCGGCUUCUUAAGUCUGAUGUGAAAUCUCCCGGCUCAACUGGGAGGGUGCGCCGGAUACUGAGGGGCUAGAGUGUGGGAGAGGAAAGUGGAAUUCCUGGUGUAGCGGUGAAAUGCGUAGAUAUCAGGAGGAACACCGGUGGUGUAAACGGCUUUCUGGACCAUAACUGACGCUGAGGCACGAAAGCGUGGGUAGCAAACAGG